UUCGCCCUUAGAGUUUGAUCCUGGCUCAGGACGAACGCUGGCGGCAUGCCUAACACAUGCAAGUCGAACGGAAGUAGCAAUACUUUAGUGGCGAACGGGUGAGUAACACGUGAGCAACCUACCUCAUACACGGGGAUAACACUGGGAAACUGGUGCCAAUACCGGAUAAGACCACACUAGGGCAUCCUAGAGAGGUCAAAGUGCUUUAGCGGUAUGAGAUGGGCUCGCGCCCAAUUAGCUAGUUGGUGAGGUAAUGGCUCACCAAGGCGACGAUUGGUAGCCGGCCUGAGAGGGUGAUCGGCCACACUGGAACUGAGACACGGUCCAGACUCCUACGGGAGGCAGCAGUGGGGAAUAUUGGGCAAUGGAGGAAACUCUUACCCAGCAAUGCCGCGUGAGUGAAUUAGAAGGUCUUCGGAUUGUAAAACUCUUUGAUUAGGGAAGAUAAUGACGUGUACCUAAAGAACAAGCCCCGGCUAACUAUGUGCCAGCAGCCGCGGUAAUACAUAGGGGGCGAGCGUUGUCCGGAAUGACUGGGCGUAAAGGGUGCGUAGGUGGUUUAUCAAGUUAGAAGUGUAAUACCCAGGGCUUAACUCGGGUGCUGCUUCUAAAACUGGUAAACUUGAGUGUCGGAGGGGAAAGUGGAAUUCCUAGUGUAGCGGUGGAAUGCGUAGAUAUUAGGAGGAACACCGGUGGCGAAAGCGGCUUUCUGGACGAUAACUGACACUGAGGCACGAAAGCGUGGGGAGCAAACAAAAGUCGAUACCCUGGUAGUCCACGCCGUAAACGAUCCAUAAAAGGUGUAGGGGGGGUUGGAUUCCCUCUGUACCGUAGCAAACGCAUUAAGUAUUCCGCCUGAGUAGUACGGUCGCAAGGCUAAAACUCAAAGAAAUGACGGGGGACCCGCACAAGCAGCGGAGCAUGUGGUUUAAUUUGAAGCAACGCGAAGAACCUUACCAAGACUUGACAUCUAUAUGACCUUCCUAGAAACAGGAACUCUCUUCUGAGCAUAUAGACAGGUGGUGCACGGUUGUCGUCAGCUCGUGUCGUGAGAUGUUGGGUUAAGUCCCGCAACGAGCGCAACCCCUAUUGUUAGUUGCUACCAUUAAGUUGAGCACUCUAGCAAGACUGCCGUGGUUAACGCGGAGGAAGGUGGGGAGGACGUCAAAUCAUCAUGCCCCCUAUGUCUAGGGCUACACACGUGCUACAAUUGUGAGUACAAAGAGACGCAAUACCGUGAGGUGGAGCAAAACUCAAAAACUCAUCCCAGUUCGGAUUGUAGGCUGCAACUCGCCUACAUGAAGUUGGAGUUGCUAGUAAUCGCGAAUCAGAAUGUCGCG
rnacentral:rRNA from 1 species